rnacentral:rRNA from 1 species
AACGCGUAGGUAACCUGCCUGGUAGCGGGGGAUAACUAUUGCAAACGAUAGCUAAUACCGCAUCACAGUAGAUGUUGCAUGACAUUUGCUUAAAAGGUGCAAUUGCAUCACUACCAGAUGGACCUGCGUUGUAUUAGCUAAUUGGUGGGGUAACGGCUCACCAAGGCGACGAUACAUAGCCGACCUGAGAGGGUGAUCGGCCACACUGGGACUGAGACACGGCCCAGACUCCUACGGGAGGCAGCAGUAGGGAAUCUUCGGCAAUGGACGGAAGUCUGACCGAGCAACGCCGCGUGAGUGAAGAAGGUUUUCGGAUCGUAAAGCUCUGUUGUAAGAGAAGAACGAGUGUGAGAGUGGAAAGUUCACACUGUGACGGUAUCUUACCAGAAAGGGACGGCUAACUACGUGCCAGCAGCCGCGGUAAUACGUAGGUCCCGAGCGUUGUCCGGAUUUAUUGGGCGUAAAGCGAGCGCAGGCGGUUAGAUAAGUCUGAAGUUAAAGGCUGUGGCUUAACCAUAGUACGCUUUGGAAACUGUUUAACUUGAGUGCAAGAGGGGAGAGUGGAAUUCCAUGUGUAGCGGUGAAAUGCGUAGAUAUAUGGAGGAA